rnacentral:SRP_RNA from 1 species
GCUGGGCAUGGUGGUGCAUGCCUGUAGUCCCAGCUGCUAGGGAGGCUGAGGUAGGAGGAUUGCUUGAGCCUGGGAAGUUGAGGCUGCAGUGAGUCGUGAUUGUGCCACUGCAGUCCAGCCUGGGUGACAGAGUGAGAUCAUGUUUCAA